UGCCAGCAGCCGCGGUAAUACGGAGGGUCCAAGCGUUAAUCGGAAUUAUUGGGCGUAAAGCGCGUGUAGGCGGUUCGUUAAGUCUGGGGUGAAAUCCCGGGGCUCAACCCCGGAACUGCCUCUGAUACUGGUAGUCUUGAGUUCGAGAGAGGUGAGUGGAAUUCCGAGUGUAGAGGUGAAAUUCGCAGAUAUUCGGAGGAACACCAGUGGCGAAGGCGGCUUUCUGGACCGAUACUGACGCUGAGACGCGAAAGCGUGGGGAGCAAACAGGAUUAGAUA
rnacentral:rRNA from 1 species